GAUCCAGACGAUCAGUUUGCCUAUGAUUCUGACCCCUUCGGCAGCGGCGAGAUUUCAACCUGGAAACAGUGCUCUCUCUUCGGCGGCGAGACUGCUUGGGCGGCGGCGACGAUGGAAGGGUUUCGUUCUCUUCUCUUCGAUCAAAAAAAGUAUCAGUUCGAUUCUUGAGAUCUGAGCAAGACAAGGAGCCAGAGCAAGUAACUGUGUCUGAAGUUGUGGGCUCUGGCCCUUCUGAAGAAUGUGUUACAGAUACUCCUCAGGAAAUUAAUGAGUAUGAACUUGUUGAUCCUGUUGAUAUAUUGACUCUUUUAGAGAAGACAGGAUUUUAGGAUGGAGUGGUAAGUCCUCUCAAUCUUUUUUUCAUGUUAUUCACUGACUUUUAACUUUGUGCUUCUAGUUUGUAAUUGUGCUCUCUGAUUAAUGUGAGGAAAAUCCAAUUUAUUAGCUUUCCUCUUUAACUAUGUGAAGCUUAAACCAGGUGAAGCAUUGUAUCUAGGGGCAAAUGAAGUCCAUGUAGGCUA